CAGCGGAUAAACACACGUCCUGUGUCCUGGCCGCACACAGACACUCACGGUCCCUCUCACGACACGAGAGGACUUCAGCCAGCACAUCUCUCACUUUCUUCUGAAGCGGUUACUUAGCUGGGCUUUAAAUGAAUCCUACACACUUAUGCCAAACAUCCCCCAGAAAAGACUCACACUGUGCUGGCUUCUGCGCAGGCGCCGGCCUGGCCUCACCUGGCUUCCGGCCGUCUCCCAACUCGAACCGCUCCCGCGGCGGCCGAGGCGGGCUGCGACUCCAGUGGCUGGCUUUCACUUUGUCGCUGUAGUCCUCUCUCAUCGUUCGGUGAUGUGCAGACACUUCCCUGCGGGCCUCCCGCUCCUUGCGCCGCUCCUCCGCCCGCCGCUCGCGCUCCUUCUGCUCCCGCUGCUCCUUCUGCUGCUCCCGCAUCUUGCGCUCCCGCUCCCGCUUCCUUUCUAACUGCUCCAAGCGGUCCCUUUCUCUCCUGGAAUGCUCCCUUGCCAUUUCCCUUCUCUUCUGUCUUUCCCAUUCCCGGCGAGCUUUAUCCUGUUCUUCUCGAUGUCGUUUCCGAC
rnacentral:lncRNA from 1 species